rnacentral:rRNA from 1 species
UACGUAGGGGGCAAGCGUUACUCGGAAUUACUGGGCGUAAAGCGUGCGCAGGCGGUGAUGUAAGACAGGUGUGAAAUCCCCGGGCUUAACCUGGGAACUGCAUUUGUGACUGCAUCGCUGGAGUGCGGCAGAGGGGGAUGGAAUUCCGCGUGUAGCAGUGAAAUGCGUAGAUAUGCGGAGGAACACCGAUGGCGAAGGCGAUCCCCUGGGCCUGCACUGACGCUCAUGCACGAAAGCGUGGGGAGCAAACAGG